CAUAUAGCUUCAAAGAAGACGACGGCAACGACGUCGUGUCCUCCUCGAUUCGCUCUGUUCAAGCUCUCCACCUUCAUUUUCCAUCUAUGGAGAUGAAAAUGGUGGAUACGAUCUACUGAGGGUUUUGCAAACUUUUGAUGCAUCUGAGAGUGAGAUCAAGAAAACUGUUACGAAGCCUCGUCAAAACAGUAAUUUUGUAGAUUCGUAUAACGUACAGACGAAUUUGAUAAUAGUUUUUCGUUGAUUUCUUAAACGAAUUUUGCUUUAAAAUCCCGAUCCGGAUGCAAGUGAGGGAUUAACAUUUCUGGCAUGUUUGUGAUCUAGCAAUUGUUUUGUGUGAAAAUGUUGCAAAAACUGUUUUCAUGAUGAAGUGAUUUUGGUAGGAUUAUCGGGUAAA